UGGUUCGGGCAUUUUUGUCCGCCAAGAGGGAAGCAGGUGAGAAGCCUGAACGAACCCGUCGCUGUAUUGGAAUAGUCCUUCCAACGCUUGUGCCGCGUGAAAGUCACUGGAAUGUCCUUCAUUCCGGGAAGACACGGAAGGGUGCCAUGUCCUGAGUCAGAAGACCUGCCCUAUGUG
rnacentral:ncRNA from 1 species